rnacentral:lncRNA from 10 species
UGCGCCCAGCCCCCCUUUCUUCAUUACUGUGCUUCCCUCCCUAAUUCUGUACAUAUCUCUCAUUCUCCCCUUCUCUCUCUAGCUCUUGUUUUCUUUUUCCCUGGGAUCUGCUCCUCCUGCUGUUUUUUGUUUUGUUUUGUUUUUUUCAUUUUUGCUCUCUCUUGGCAAAUCCCUCACUCAUCCUCUACUUUGCCAUCUGUUAUGGUCUUUCUCAUUCUUCUUUUCUCUGUCUCAGGUUUUCUACUGCUCUCUCUCUCAGUCUCCUGAUCCCUUUGGCCAACACAAUCACAGGAGGGCUUUGGAGUAAGACGCCUGCAUCCCGGAGGAGCGCAUUUUCCAGGGGCUGGUGCAGGGCAGGCAAGAACACCCGGUGUCAUAGGACAGCCCCGGGCACCUCCCCAACGCGGGCUCAGGGUGGAUAACAAAGUAAAGUCCAAGGGUCUGUCAUAAACUGGGUUAGAAGAGACGAGAAGAUUACCAGGAGUCUCGGUCUCAAGCAAUCCUCCCACCUCAGCCUCCCAAGGUGCGUGGACCACAGGUGUGAUCCACUGAACAUAGUGGAGUCUCCAGCUCAAAAAAACAAAACAAAGAUCAAGGUACUCUAUCGAAUUACUUCAUUUGACAUUUUUUUUGAAAUGAAAUGUUUACAUAUUUAUUAUUGAACCC